rnacentral:rRNA from 1 species
CCUACGGGGGGCUGCAGUGGGGAAUAUUGGACAAUGGGGGCAACCCUGAUCCAGCCAUGCCGCGUGUGUGAAGAAGGCCCUCGGGUUGUAAAGCACUUUCAGUGAGGAAGAACGCCUGGUGGUUAAUACCCAUCAGGAAAGACAUCACUCACAGAAGAAGCACCGGCUAACUCCGUGCCAGCAGCCGCGGUAAUACGGAGGGUGCGAGCGUUAAUCGGAAUUACUGGGCAUAAAGCGCGCGUAGGUGGCUUGAUAAGCCGGUUGUGAAAGCCCCGGGCUCAACCUGGGAACGGCAUCCGGAACUGUCAAGCUAGAGUGCAGGAGAGGAAGGUAGAAUUCCCGGUGUAGCGGUGAAAUGCGUAGAGAUCGGGAGGAAUACCAGUGGCGAAGGCGGCCUUCUGGACUGACACUGACACUGAGGUGCGAAAGCGUGGGUAGCAAACAGGAUUAGAUACCCCUGUAGUC